GGAAAUGUGGCUCAGUAGUAGAGCACUGGCUUUGCAUGCAGAAGGUCCCAGGUUCAAUCCCAGGCAUAUCCA
rnacentral:tRNA from 1 species